AUUGAACGCUGGCGGCAGGCCUAACACAUGCAAGUCGAGCGGCAGCGGGUCCUUCGGGAUGCCGGCGAGCGGCGGACGGGUGAGUAAUGCCUAGGAAUCUGCCUGGUAGUGGGGGAUAACGUUCGGAAACGGACGCUAAUACCGCAUACGUCCUACGGGAGAAAGUGGGGAAUCUUCGGUACUCACGCUAUCAGAUGAGCCUAGGUCGGAUUAGCUAGUUGGGGGGGUAAAGGCUCACCAAGGCGACGAUCCGUAACUGGUCUGAGAGGAUGAUCAGUCACACUGGAACUGAGACACGGUCCAGACUCCUACGGGAGGCAGCAGUGGGGAAUAUUGGACAAUGGGCGAAAGCCUGAUCCAGCCAUGCCGCGUGUGUGAAGAAGGUCUUCGGAUUGUAAAGCACUUUAAGUUGGGAGGAAGGGCAGUCAGUUAAUACCUGGUUGUUUUGACGUUACCAACAGAAUAAGCACCGGCUAACUUCGUGCCAGCCGCCGCAGUAAUAC
rnacentral:rRNA from 1 species